rnacentral:rRNA from 1 species
CCUUACCUGGCCUUGACAUACUAAGAACUUUCCAGAGAUGGAUUGGUGCCUUUCGGGAACUUUAGAUACAGGUGCUGCAUGGCUGUCGUCAGCUCGUGUCGUGAGAUGUUGGGUUAAGUCCCGCAACGAGCGCAACCCUUUUCCUUAUUUGCCAGCGGGUUAAGCCGGGAACUUUUAAGGAUACUGCCAGUGACAAACUGGAGGAAGGCGGGGACGACGUCAAGUCAUCAUGGCCCUUACGGCCAGGGCUACACACGUGCUACAAUGGUCGGUACAAAGGGUUGCUACCUCGCGAGAGGAUGCUAAUCUCAAAAAGCCGAUCGUAGUCCGGAUCGCAGUCUGCAACUCGACUGCGUGAAGUCGGAAUCGCUAGUAAUCGCGGAUCAGAAUGCCGCGGUGAAUACGUUCCCGGGCCUUGUACACACCGCCCGUCACACCAUGGGAGUUUGUUGCACCAGAAGUAGGUAGUCUAACCGCAAGGAGGACGCUUACCACGGUGUGGCCGAUGACUGGGGUGAAGUCGUAACAAGGUAGGCGUAGAUGA